rnacentral:rRNA from 1 species
GAUGAACGCUAGCGGCAGGCCUAAUACAUGCAAGUCGAACGGUCCGCUUCGGCUGAUAGUGGCGCACGGGUGCGUAACACGUAUGCAACCUACCUUACAUUGGGGGGUAGCCUUUCGAAAGGGAGAUUAAUACCGCAUAAGACAGUAGCUGGGCAUCCAGUAGCUGUUAGAGAUUUAUCGAUGUAAGCUGGACAUGCGUCCAAUUAGUUAGUUGGUGAGGUAACGGCUCACCAAGUAGAUGAUUGGUAGGGGAACUGAGAGGUCAAUCCCCCACACUGGCACUGAGAUACGGGCCAGACUCCUACGGGAGGCAGCAGUAGGGAAUAUUGGGCAAUGGACGCAAGUCUGACCCAGCCAUGCCGCGUGCAGGAAGAAGGCGUUCUGCGUUGUAAACUGCUUUUAUAUAGGAAGAAACGACCCUUGCGAGGGGCAUUGACGGUAUUAUAUGAAUAAGCACCGGCUAACUCCGUGCCAGCCGCCGCAGUAACAC